rnacentral:miRNA from 1 species
UGAGUAGUCAAUGGAAUAAUG